rnacentral:lncRNA from 1 species
GCGGACGUAAGAGAAAUGGAAGCGCUCCACCACAUUUCUGCAAAAGCAGUGGUGGAAUUGCUCGCCAUAUCCUUCAACAAUUGGAAACCAUGAAAAUCAUCGAUAUGGAUCCCAAGGGGUGAGUUUCAAUUUUCUUUUAUCUUUUAAUCAAUGCAUUUUCUUGUUUCAAGAAUCCAUUUGUUGCUCUUGAAUCUUGAUCAUAUAAAGGCUUCAUAUAUACAUGUUGUUACUUGUUACUUACUUAAGGGACUGUUUUUUAGACCUGUUAAGGUUAAUGUGUUAAGCAUCUGAUCUGAACAUAAUGACUUAAUGGAUUAAGCACUUGUUACUUAAUAACCCUUUACCUAUUUGCAUUUUUUUCUAUUUCCUCCCAGCUUCAAUACUGUGAAAUUUGUUUUUUUGAAAUGUAAGGGUAAAAUGGUAAAAUUGUUUGUUUAUUUUUUUGGUUGUGUUACAGAGGAAGAAGGAUCACAUCUAAUGGUCGACGAGACCUUGAUCAAGUUGCAGGGCGGAUUGUGGUUGUUGCACCUUGAAGAAUUCAAAUCAUUUUUGAUGUUAUGUAGCUUUAUUAUGAAUCUUAACUUUAAAAAAAUUUAAAUCAAAUUUUGUUUGAAGAAAUCUUGUUUUCAUUUUUGAGUUGUUUGUGUUUUGGUGGUAUUUCUGAGAAUUUGUGGAUUUGGAACAUGAGUACAUGUAAUCAAUCACUUAACUACUUAAGCUCUAAUCCUGAUACUUGAAUUAAUACACUCCAAUGAGAAAUGAUUUUGUAGGAUUAUUUGAAGAGUAUGGAAUUGAAUACUCCUGAUUUUUAUAUACAUGUACCAUGGUAGAUGCCUUAAUAGUCUUGUUCCACUCACUUAAAAUGCAUGAAAUAUUUAUAUAUGUUUUUGUUUGGUGUUGCCAUGUUAUUUGUGUAGAUGAUCCAAUAAGAAGAGAUAAGAUCAAAGUCAUUGAAGAUUAUCCUUCUUAAAAUGAAGGGUUUUUUUUGACACAUGUUGAUCUCUCAUGAUUUUUGACAUUUGUUAUUUUAUUAUAUUUUUAGAAUAAAUAAUAUAACAUGUCAAUUUAUAGAUUUUUCAAAUUUUAAAUUAAAAAGUCACAUAAUAUUUAUAUAUGUAAAGUAUUUAAUGUAAUUAAUAGUUUCUUCAUUCCUUAUUUUAAAUUUUAUUUAAAAAAUACUUAACGUUUAUAUUUUAGUAUUUAAUAUUUUGUUUAAUCAACCUGUGUAAUACACGGGUUUUGUACCUAGUUUGUAAUAUUUGUUACUAGCAUCUUGCAAUCCAUAGAUGAUAUAUUGUAUGUUGACUAUAAACAAGUUAAUCUUUAUAAGUUGCUUGUUCUCCAUUUCUUGCAUCAAUACGGGAUUAAUUGGGCACUUUGAGAUUCAUCGUAAUGUUCUUCACCCUAUUAGAAUCCUUUUAAGGUUACUUGUUUGUCUUCUCACAACGCCCUAAUGAGGGUAAUCUUUAUAAGUUGCUUGUUCUCCAUUUCUUGCAUCAAUACGGGAUUAAUUGGGCACUUUGAGAUUCAUCGUAAUGUUCUUCACCCUAUUAGAAUCCUUUUAAGGUUGCUUGUUUGUCUUCUCACAACGCCCUAAUGAGGGUAACCAUGAUAUUUGACGAUAUCUAACGACAACAUAUGCUUAGAAUAAAAAAAUAGAUGAAGAAAAAAAAAGAUUCUAUAUGAUAUGCCUCACAACGCCCUAAUGAGAGUAACCGUAAUAUUUGACGAUAUUUAACGAUAACAUAUGUUUACAAUAAAAAAUAGAUGAAAGAAAAAAAAAAAGAUUCCAUAUGAUAUGUCUCACAACGCCCUAAUAAGAGUAACAGUGAUAUUUGAUGAAAUUUAACGACAACAUAUGUUUAGAAUAAAAAAAUAGAUGAAAAAAAAAAUUCUAUAUAACAUGUCUCACAACGCCCUAAUGAGAGUAACCAUGAUAUUUGACGAUAUUUUACGACAACAUAUGCUUAGAAUAAAAAAAUAGAUGAAAGAAAAGAAAAAGAUUUCAUAUGAUAUGUCUCAAAACGCCCUAAUAAGAGUAACCGUGAUAUUUGACGAUAUUUAACGACAACAUAUGCUUAGAAUAAAAAAAAUAGAUGAAAGAAAAAAAAAGAUUCUAUAUAAUAUGUCUCACAAUGCCCUAAUGAGAGUAACCGUGAUAUUUGACGAUAUUUAACGACAACAUAUGCGUUAGAAUAAAGAAAUAGAUGAAAGAAAAAAAGAUUCUAUAUAUAUAUAUAUAUAUGAUAUGUCCAUGCAAAAGUUAUCUAUGAUAUAAAUAGUGGGGUACAAAAGAAAACCACAACCACAAAGCGAGUGCCAUAUUAUGAGGCAACACUUAAUAUAAAAUCUAUAGAUAGGCUUCUAAUGAAUGUGACUACCAACUUGUGAGAUCAUUUGAGUCUAUUUAUAGACAUGAUUGAUAGAUGAUUAUGACAAACUCAUAUUCUAUGUGUGAUUUCUCAACAACAAAUAUAUCACUAACUCCACUACAUAUAUUAACAAAGUAAACAAACAAUUUAAAAAGCUCCCAAAAAAACAAGGAUAGUAUGUUAAGAGAUAUGAAGUUUUAAUAAGCCGAUAAUCACACUUCCCCGAUAUGAAUAUAUAUUCUUGAGACAACAACUUAAAACGAUUCUAAAAAGAGCUAGAAUAACAUAUUGAGGGAUAUGAAAGUGUUAAAUAACACGAUACACAUACUCUCCCUAUAAUGAAGAUAACCUGAUAACCAAAACACACAUUCUUGAAUGGGAUCGUCUACAAUAAUACAAUUGUAAGAGUGUGGUAUCUUAGUAAGUAUUUUAGGCAUUAUGGUUGUUCAGUAUAAGAUGAUGAAGGUCCCGAUAGUAUCAAUCUUAUCAUUUUUUAAAAAUUUAUAUAGUAGUUAGUUAGAUGUGAAUAGACCCGUAUCCUCACUUUCCAUUGUUUCUACAGAUCGUAACAAUGUAUAUUUUCGAUUAUAGUAUUAUUAAACUGCUAGUUGGUUGAUUUUAUGUAAUGUUAUACAACAACUUGUUAUAUAGCAAUGUAUAGUAAUUUAUGUAAGACGUUUAUUAUUAUAGUAGUUUAUAACUCGUGGGAACCACGGUUAUAAAAUUAAUUAGACUUUUAUAGUAAAAAAAUCAAAACUAUUAAUCAUUUAUUUUAAAUAAAUUACUAAUUAAGAGAUAUUUUUAUUAGUUAUGUAAAAUUAUAAUCGUUAAUUCAAAAAAAAUAUGUAAAAUUAAUUUUUAUUAUAUAUUAGACAUUUUUUAUUUGUGAAUUAAUGAAAACAAUAAUAUAAAAUUUAAAAAUUUAAAAUAGAGAAUAAAUUUAUUGACAAAUAGCAUCACAUCAAUGAGGAGGUCUAAUAAAUUUUAAAUGGAAAACUAAUAGAUUGACAAGUGGCAACACAUUAAUUAAGAGAUAUAAUAUGGUGACACAUGGCAAAAUAGCUACUCUUUUAUUAGUAUAGGGAGAUAAGACACUUGUGUAUUGCUAAAUAAUGGACCGAAAAUGUACAUUCUAAGGAACAAGAAAUUAAAUUAGGAAGAUUAUUGUUGAUUGAUAAAUAAUGAACGAACAAUACUAAUACUAUAAAACACCAAAUUUGUUGAAGAUAUCUUCGCUGCCUAAUUGGCAUUCUUUACAAUAUUGUGGUUUUUCCUUAUUUCAUUGGAGGUAUUCUUUUCCCUUUUAUGCUAAUAACCGACGACUCUUAUGACCAUUUUUUUGCAAUGGAUUAAAACCUAAUGAUGCUUAAUGUGUAUUCUUUGCACCAUUAAGGCUUUUCUUAUCCGAGCUUCUCUUUCUUCAUGGUCGGAGAUCAUUAUGAGUUGCUUGUUUGUAUUUUUCUACGUUGAUGUUCAUAUUAAGCGCAUAGAGUAAUGGGGAAAAGGAUGACAAAACACCAAUAAUUAGAAUCGAUCAACCGACUUAAGGGAAUGACAUAUUUAUGUGUUGUAGGAAACAUAAUCAAAUAGAGAUCAUAACGAUUAACUUACAAUUUAAAGGUUCCUAAUAAAGACAAUACAAAAACUAGACACAAACCUAAAGAUAUGAUCUCCAAAUAUUUAAACAUAUAUAGUCCCUAACGAGGCUUUACCGAGAAGAAAUUAUGGCUCCAAUAUGCAUGUUUGAAGUUUACGUAGGAAACGAGCCAAACAUCAAUACUCACGAAGAAACAAGUUUCUUGAGAACAAGUAUUGAGCCUUGUUUUGUGGGGUCGAUGACAAUUUUAUUAAUAUAGUUCAAAGAAGAAAUUUUAACGGCAAAAGUUUAGCGGAAUUUGCUUUAUUUCAGAAUCAACAUACAUGCGAGUUUACUAUUGCAUUUCUUAAUCAAAUUCUCAUGUAGAUUAUGGCAAUAUGGGCUUGGGUCUAAUUCUUAAAAAUUCUUGUGUUUUAGUUUGAUGGUUAUUUAUUUUUAAAUUAUGGUCAUUUAUAAUUUUAAAAACACUAGUAGUUACGACCUAGACUUCAAGAUGUUUUCACUUUAGCAAAAGGGUAUUUUGAACAAUUAACUACAUUUAUAAAAGGAAAAUUUCAGAUUUUUAGGGAUGAUUAAUUCUCAUAAUUUAAAAAAAUCUGAAUUUUUUAAUUAAUUCAAUUUCAAUUUUUACCGAUUUUAUUUUGUCAGAAUAUUUUUUGUUAGAAUGAUACUCUUUCAGAAUUUUAUUCUAAUAGAAUAUUAUUGAAGAAAAACAAAAUUUUGAACCAAAUGUUGAAAAUUAACAAACAUUCUGAUAUAUUCCUAUACAUCCGAACUUAAAUACAAAUUCAUACAUAUUCUUACAGACUAAAAGUCUCAUACAUUUUAAUAUAGUUAUAAAAUAUUCUAAAAGAAUACCAACAAAAAUUAAUAAUAUUCUUAGAAAAUAACAACAUUCUGCUAGAAUACUCUCGUUCUCCAUGUUUUCUUCAUUUUUCACAUCAAUGACAGCCCCUUCAAAACCUAAAUAAAAAAAACAUAAUCAACUUUAUACUCCAUUUGAGUACCAGACAUACAUACAUACCGGUGAUUAACAACAUAAACUACAAACUUUCAUAUAUCCAAAAGCAUCCAUUCACCAGCAAAAGCUUACAAAAAAAAAAGCAAAACACAUCAUUAUAAAAUUACAGAAGACAAAGGGAAGAACAAAGACAAAGAAGACGCCUUAGAAAGUGAUAGUCAGCAAACAGAAAUCAACAGAAAUCGUGAUGGACCCGAGUAAUUACCUACAUCCAAAAUCGAAAGAGUAAUUUUGAAGUCAUCAGAGUCGAAUUGUAGAGAGAAACACAAACCGACCUAAGCAGGGCAGGCGGUGGUGGAGAGCGAUACCGUAUAGGGUUGUGGUGGAGAGCGACGAUGCAUUAGGCGGUGGUGUAGAAGGGAGAAAGAGUAAAACAAAGAAGAUGAAAGGUAAUCGGUUUGGUGUAGAAAGUGGAACAAUCGAGAAUAUAGAAGGAAGAUUAAAGUAACCCCGAUUGUAGAAGCUAACCUGAUAAACAGUACCCGAGUUAGCUACUCUGCAUAAGAGUCUUGUGCUGAAUGUAAAAUGGGUGAAAGGAUUGACGACAAUUGUAAUUUUCAAGCGUAGGGUUUUUUGGGUUUGACUUUGAUAUCCCAUAUUUAAAGGGAUGAUAAAUAUAUUAGUUAUCUACCAUAUUUAAAUAUGUCAAGAUUACUAUAAUACCCUUAAAUGAUUUAUUUAAUGAUUUAUUAUUUCCUAAAUUCUCAUUGGUGCACACAUGUACACAAUAAUUAUCAAAAACAUUUGAACCUCUCUCUCUCUCUCUCUCUUUCUCUCUAUAUAUAUACACACACACAUACAUACAUAUAUAUAUAUAUAUACAUAUAUAUAUACAUACAUACACACACAUACAUAUAUAUAUAUAUAUAUAUAUAUAUAUAUAUAUACAUACAUACAUACACACACACAAAAUAAAGACCGUCCACUAUACCUCUUCAUGUUCGGUUGGGAAAUUGGACAAACACCAUCCACUAUACCUCUUCAUGUUCGGUUAGGCUAUAUAGAAUGGAAGACAACACGAUUUUCGUGAAGGUGCGCCACAUCACCGAAAAAAUCAAGUCAUUUGCUUUUUACUAGGUAUAGGAAAUGGUAUUCAAUCAUCAAGUUGCUAUGGAGUUAGAGAGAGAUAUGGUUUUCCUCUCUCGCUUCUGAAGGAUCGUAGCCAUAGUCACGAGAGGUCACACUUAUCAAGGUUGGGGGUAGUGUUUGGAGCCACCUUACACAUAACUUGGCAAGCAAGUCACGUUACACGUAUUUUUGUUAUGCAUUCCGUACAACCUAAUGUUUCUAUCCGUGUAGCCGACCCCCAUCUCGAACCAUUAGCAUACCCUGAACCCCAGGCCUCUUUAGUCUUCCAUGCUUAUAGCUAAGGAUAAGCAUAGGCAAGUACCCACCCAAUUUCGUCAGAACCAAAAUUGAUCUAGACAAUUAUUAAAUUUUUGGAACCAGCUCCGAAAACCUGGUAACCCAAUUAUGUCAUUUUUGUAGUAUCAUUAAUACAAAAUAAUUAUUAGCCAUUGAAGCAAAAAAGUAAUUUAUUUUAAAAGAUAACCGAAGUUUUUAAAUAUAAAUCAUAAACCAAAGUUCAUAUUUUGACUAUCAACAUGUUGAUGUUAUUUAAAAUCAAAUAUUUUCAAAAGAAAUUAUCAUCACUUAUGUUCAAAUGGUUUUAUAGUUAUCUAUUCACAUUUACGUCAGACCAUUUUUUUUGAAAAAAAAUACAAAUAUGAUUUAUUAGCAUGUUACCUCCAAGAUACAAUUAGAUAGUUCCAACAUAUGUCUUAGCCAUCAAAAAGUUGUUACGACCAAUUCAUUUAAGUAUUAAGUAUUUUUAAAUUUUAAUAUUUUGGAACCUGUUAUGGCUGUUACCCAAUGUUAUGGCUGUUACCCAAUGGGUAACGGUUCCUAACAAAUGAAAGCCAGUAUCGGAACCGGUCGUCGGUGGUUCCAAUUUUUAAGAACAAGAAUCGAAACCAGUGACCUCGGUUUCAGUUCCAAAACCAACGAUUUCUGAGCGGUUAUGAUUCCAAAAACAGAUACCUACUCUCUUGCUCAACCUUAAUUAUAGUUGAAGCCUUAUAUAUUAUAGAAAAGGUUAUGGAUGGGCCCAAUACUUGUCUAAAGAGCUGCUGGUUCGACGACCACAUACCCAAUAUGUCCAGAUGGCCCAAAAUCGACACAGAUAAAUAUUGAUGAUAUAACUAUGGAAGAAAACCUAGCCAAUUGCUCUUCGUGCAGGUCUAAAUCGCCUCAACGCAGCUACAAUGGCGACAGCGAGAACUGUGAAGGAUGUUUCCCCGCAUGAAUUCGUUAAGGGUUACGCCGCUCAUCUCAAACGAUCCGGCAAGGUAAAAUCGACCACACUACUGAUUUUAGGGUUUGUUGAUUUAGAGUAACGGAGUGGCUUUUUAUUUCCCCCACAAAUGCAUCAAUCUCGAAUUUUGUAUGCUUAAAAAUGAACUGAACUUUUGUAUUUGGUGAGCUUCGGCUCUAAUUUUAGUGUUUUUUAACUGUAAUUGAAUUUUGAUUCUGUGUUUGGUGAAACAUUACCCCUAAUUUCUCUACUCUAAUCUUUUCAUGUACAAUUGAUCAUCUUGAUAAUUCUAAUUUUCAUAGAUGGAGCUUCCUGAAUGGACUGAUAUCGUGAAGACUGCGACCUUCAAGGAACUUGCACCCUAUGAUCCAGAUUGGUAUUACAUCAGAGCUGGUAAGUUCUUUCUAUUUCCAUUUUCCCACAAUUAUCAGAGUGAAGAGAAGAAACAAACCCAUAUUUUGUAAUUCCAAUUUGCAGCUUCAAUUGCUAGGAAAAUAUACUUGAGAGGUGGUCUUGGUGUUGGAGCGUUGCAGAGGAUCUAUGGUGGACGUAAGAGAAAUGGAAGCGCUCCACCACAUUUCUGCAAAAGCAGUGGUGGAAUUGCUCGCCAUAUCCUUCAACAAUUGGAAACCAUGAAAAUCAUCGAUAUGGAUCCCAAGGGGUGAGUUUCAAUUUUCUUUUAUCUUUUAAUCAAUGCAUUUUCUUGUUUCAAGAAUCCAUUUGUUGCUCUUGAAUCUUGAUCAUAUAAAGGCUUCAUAUAUACAUGUUGUUACUUGUUACUUACUUAAGGGACUGUUUUUUAGGCCUGUUAAGGUUAAUGUGUUAAGCACCUGAUCUGAACAUAAUGACUUAAUGGAUUAAGCACUUGUUACUUAAUAACCCUUUACCUAUUUGCAUUUCUUUCUAUUUUCUCCCAACUUCAAUAUUGUGAAAUUUGUAUUUUGAAAUGUAAGGGUAAAAUGGUAAUUUUAGUCUAUUUCAGAGGCCAAUGCAGUCUCAAAAAAGAGUUAGACAUUAUCUAUGCAGCCAUUUUAAAUAAACAACCCUUAAGUCAUAUCUAAAUAAAACUAAGUUCUUGUAUUUUCUAUUAAGUGAUAUCUAGAUAGGAUAAAAUGUUUUCUAGAUAUGUAAUGUUUGUGACAAAUGAUCAAAAUUGUUUGUUUAUUUUUUUGGUUGUGUCACAGAGGAAGAAGGAUCACAUCUAAUGGCCGAAGAGACCUUGAUCAAGUUGCAGGGCGGAUUGUGGUUGUUGCACCUUGAAGAAUUCAAAUCAUUUUUGAUGUUAUGUAGCUCUAUUAUGAAUCUUAACUUAAAAAAAUUUAAAUCAAAUUUUGUUUGAAGAAAUCUUGUUUUCAAUUUUGAGCUGUUUGUGUUUUGGUGGUAUUUUUGAGAAUUUGUGGAUUUGGAACAUGAGUACAUGUAAUCAAUCACUUAACUACUUAAGCUCUAAUCCUGAUGCUUGAAUUAAUACACUCCAAUGAGGAAUGAUUUUGUAGGAUUAUGUGAAGAGUAUGGAAUUGAAUACUCCUGAUUUUUAUAUACAUGACCAUGGUAGAUGCCUUAAUAGUUAAUAGUCUUGUUCCACUCACUUAAAAUGCAUGAAAUGUUUAUAUAUGUUUUGGUUUGGUGUUGCCAUGUUAUUUGUUACUAGCAUCUUGCAAUUCAUAGUUGAUAUAUUGUAUGUUGACAAAAACAAGUUAAUCUUUAUAAGUUGCUUGUUCUCCUUUUCUUGCACCAAUAUGGAUUAAUUGGACACUUGAGAUUCAUCGUAAUGUUCUUCACCCUAUUAGAAACAAACAACAACUUAUCUAAGAUAUAAAAAUAGUAGGGUACAAAAGAAAACCACAAAGUGAGUGCGAUAUUAUGAGGCUCGCCAACCAAAUCAAAUUUGUCUCGCCUGCUUAACGUGAUAUUCUAUAGGUUGUGAUAAUGUUAUUUUUACGGCAAUACUUUAUGUAAAAUAUAUAGAUAGGCUUCUAAGGCCAACUCCAAUGGUAAAAUAUUAAAAUGGUGAGUUUUAAACACUAAAAUGUUAUAACCAAUCCAACCACACACUAAAAUGGUGUAUUUUAGAGGCCAAACAUUUUCUCCUUCAUAUUUGGUGUUUGAGUGUAUCCCACACACUAAAAUGAUGUAUUUUAGAGGUUGAUUGGAGUGAUAAAAAGAAAAACUAACACUAAAAUGGUGUUUUUUAAUGUUCCAUUGGAGUUGGUUUAAUGAAUGUGACUAUCAACUUGUGAGGUCAUUUGAGUCUAUUUACACACACAUGAUUGAUAGAAGAUUAUGACAAACUCAUAUUCUAUGUGUGAUUUCUCAACAACAUAUAUAUAUAUAUAUAUAUANNNNNNNNNNNNNNNNNNNNNNNNNNNNNNNNNNNNNNNNNNNNNNNNNNUUUGAAAAGCUCCCAAAAAAAGCAAGGAUAACAUCUUUGAGAGAUAUGGAGUUUUAAUAAGCCGAUAAUCACACUUCCCCGAUAUAAAUAUAUAUUCUUUAGACAACAACUUAAAAUGAUUCCAAAAAGAACUAGAAUAACAUAUUGAGGGAUAUGAAAGUGUUCAACAACACGAUACACAUACUCUCCCUAUAAUGAAGAUAACCCGAUAACCAAAACACACAUUCUUGAAUGGGAUCAUCUACAGUAAUACCGUUGUAACAAUCAUCUGGAAGGCAUUAUGGGUGUUUAAUAUAAGAUGAUGAAGGUCCCGAUAGUAUCAAUGUCGUAUCAUUUUUUAAAAUUUGUAUAGUAGUUAGUUAGAUGUGGAGAGGCCCGUAUCCUCACUUUCCCUCGUUUCUAUAGAUUGUACCAAUGUAUAUUUUCAAUUAUAGUAUUAUUAAACUGCUACUUGGCCGAUUUUAUGUAAUGUUAUACAACAUUUUGUUAUAUAGCAAUGUAUAGUAAUUUAUGUAAGACAUUUAUUAUUAUAUAAGACACUUGUUUAUUGCUAAAUAAUGGACCGAAAAUGUACAUACCAAGGAACAAGAAAAUUACAUUAGGAAGAUUAUUGUUGAUUGAUAAGUAAUGAACGAACAAUACUAAUACUAUAAAACACCAAAUUUGUUGAAGAUAUCUUCGCUGCCUAAUAGGCAUUCUUUACAAUAUUGUGGUUUUUCCUUAUUUCAUUAGAGGUAUUCUUUCCCUUUUAUGCUAAUAACCGAUGACUCUUAUGACCAUUUUUUGCAAUGGAUUAAAACCUAAUGAUGCUUAAUGUGUAUUCUUUGCAGCAUUAAGGCUUUUCUUAUCCGAGCUUCUCUUUCUUCAUGGUCGAAGAUCAUUAUGAGUUGCUUGUUUGUAUUUUUCUAUGUUGACGUUCAUAUUAAGCGCAUAGAGUAAUGGGGAAAAGGGUGACAAAACACUAAUAAUCAGAAUCGAUCAAUCAACUUAAGGGAAUGAUAUAUUUAUGUGUUGUAGGAAACAUAAUCAAAUAGAAAUCAUAACGAUUAACCUACAAUUUAAAGGUUCCUAAUAAAGACAAUACAAAAACUAGACACAAACUAAAUAUAUGAUCUCCAAAUAUUUAAAUAGAUAGAGUCCCUAACGAGGCUUUACCGAGAAGAAAUUAUGGCUCCAAUAUGUAUGUCUGAAGUUUACGUAGGGAACGAGCCAAACAUCAAUACUCACAAAGAAACAAGUUUCUUGAGAACAAGUAUUGAGCCUUGUUUUGUGGGGUCGAUGACAGUUUUAUUAAUAUAGCUCGAAGAAGAAAAUUUUAACCGCAAAAAUUUAGCGGAAUUUGCUUUAUUUCAGAAUCAACAUACAUGCGAGUUUACUAUUGCAUUUCUUAAUCAAAUUCUCAUGUAGAUUAUGGCAAUAUGGGCUUGGUCUAAUUCUUAAAAAUUCUUGUGUUUUAGUUUGAUGGUUAUUUAUUUUUAAAUUAUGGUCAUUUAUAAUUUUAAAAACACUGGUAGUUACGACCUAGACUUUCAAGAUGUUUUCACUUUUUAACCCUCAAAAUAUGCUUUGAAUGCCAUUGAAAUGUGUUUAAUCUUCUUGAAUAAUCUAUAACCUUGGUGUAUGCCAUCUCAAACUUAGCUUUAUGGCAUUCUCCCCAAUCUUAGCUCAUGACAUUCUCAUCGCGUGUAACGUUUAUUACCAAUAUGACUAAAUAUUUUUCGUAACUUGCAUUUUUGGACAUACUUCGGUUUGAUUUGUUGUUUGAAUGAGAUCUCCUUGUGCCUAGAUGCUCUCCAAUUGUGUCUUUCUAUUUCCCACCAUUAGGAGAGCUUGUAUCAUUGGUAUGUAGGUCCCUCAAGGACUUCCACAUAUAUCUCCUAAUUCGUGAAGCCCAUCUCAUUAUCUCAACUCCAAAUUAGUGAAGCCCAUCUAAUUAUCUCAAGUUGGCCAUUACAUAACACAACAUGGGCCGACCGUGCAUGUGUCAAACCAAUCACAAAACGUAGGUUCGGCUUCAAAAAACAACUCAGUAGGGGUGACAAACCAUGCUAUCGUUUUGUGUUUCUGUCUGACACGACACAACACGACAAAUUUUUAUGUAACACGAACACGAUACGACACGAUGUCGUGUUUUUUCUAACUAACAAGAAAACGAACGAAUUAAAAAACGACAAACACGACACGACAUGAAAAAUAUAACAUAUACUAAAAACUAUUUUAUUUAAUGAAUAAUUUAUCAAAUAUAACACGAAAAACACGAUAAACACGAAAAAACGAUAAAGAACUGCUAAAUCAUGUCAAUUUCGUGUCGAAUUUUGAAAACGAACACGACACGGCACGACAUCGUGUUUUUUAUAGUUAACACGAACACGACACGAGUACGAAUUCAAAUUUCAAUUUCGUCCCAAUUUCGUUUCGUUUCAUGUAUUUUUGUCGUAUUGUGUCAUAAAUUGUCACCCCAAGUUUCAAAAGAUUUUUUUUCAUCUCUAAAAUUGUGAACCUCCAACUAAAUGGCUUAUGGGCUGGCCCAAUACUUGUCUAAACUCUAAAUGCUCAAUAAAUCCACAUGAGUAUUGAAUAUAGAAGUAUAGAACUUAUCAGAACUACUGAAGAAAACCUAGGGGGUGUUUGGCUUAGUUUUUCACAGCCAAAAGUCCUUUUUGUAAAAGAAAAAAAACAAAAAGAUGAUUGGCAAACUAAUAAUUUUUGGAGUUUUAAUACAAGAAAAAACAACUUUUGUUUGUAACUUUUUGGAAAAGUUCUUUUGAGCUUUUCCAAACACCCCCCUAGCGUAGGACUAAAACUCUUCAACGCAGCUACAAUGGCGACGGCGAAAACUGUGAAGGAUGUUUCUCCUCAUGAAUUCGUUAAGGGUUACGCCGCUCAUCUCAAACGAUCUGGCAAGGUAAAACAUCGAUCACAUUGCUUGUUUUAGGGUUUGUUUAUUUAGAGUCAUGGAGCAGGAUUCCUUUCAAUUUCAUCAAUCUAGAACCUAACAUGAUAAAGCGUAUUAACUUACUUCAGUUCUUUGAUAAAGAAUUGAUCUUUUCCUCGGUAAACUCCGAGUCUAAUUCCCAUCAUUUACUAGUUAGAGUGAUUGUUCUAUUCAGAGUUUCAAAGAAAGCUUGCACAAUCACUCUUUUACGCUUGAUAAGGACUCUUGAUUUUGUGUUUGAUGAACUCUACCCCUAAUUGCCAAUUUUCGUUCAUUCAAAGGUUAGGCCUUUUUAGUUAGUUUUUUGUUUUCACAACGUCUUAUUUUAUAGAUGGAGCUUCCUGAAUGGACUGAUAUAGUUAAGACUACGACCUUCAAGGAACUUGCACCCUAUGAUCCAGAUUGGAAUUACAUCAGAGCUGGUAAGUUCUUUCUAUUUCCAUUUUCACACAGUUAUCAUAGUGAAGAAACAAUUAAACAAACCCAUAUUUUAUAAUUCCAAUUUGUAGCUUCAAUUGCUAGGAAAAUAUACUUGAGAGGUGGUCUUGGUGUUGGAGCAUUACAGAGGAUCUAUGGCGAACGUAAGAGAAAUGGAAGCGCUCCACCACAUUUCUGCAAAAGCAGUGGCGGAAUUGCUCGCCACAUUCUUCAUCAAUUGGAAACCAUGAAAAUCAUUGAUUUGGAUCCCAAGGGGUGAGUUAACAAUCAACAUUGUUAAUUUGUUAUACUGGUUUUCUCUAUUAAGUUGUUCUUUAUGUAUUAAGUUGUUUAUAUGUUAAUUUAUUGUUUUUGUUUUUGGUUGUGUUACGGAGGGAGAAGGAUCACGUCUAAUGGCAGACGAGACCUUGACCAAGUUGCUGGGCGGAUUGUGGUUGUUGCUCCUUGAAGAAUUUAAAUCAUUUUUGAUGUUAUGUAAUUUUUUUUUAAUCAUUUUGGCAAAAAAAAAAAAUUGAUGUUAGUUUGUUUGUGGUUUGUGGAUUUUACUUGGUUUUAAAAAAUCUUAAGCUACAAAGCAUCCAACAUGUCAAAAGAAAGAUAGGGAGGUGUUUUUAUUUUUAUUUUUUUUCCUCCUUAGUUGGGUAUGAAGGGGGCAUUAAUGGUUCAAAGGAUAAAAUUGACCAAACUGAAGUAACAAAAGUGUAAAAGUGUCCCAUAAUAGUGAAACCAUAAAAGAUACAUUUAGAAGAAAGCAAAUUCUUGCAAUAAUGUACUUAUGCAUUGGUAUUAGCCAUCAAUAGUGGAUCGCUUGUGAGCAAGUUUCAUUAAAAUAUAAAAGAUAUCAAGAAACAUAAAAAAAAAAGAUUUUAGCAAAAAACGAAUAACAAAUAAUGUAAUAAUAAGAUUGGCUUAUCCAAUAGGGAAAAUGUCUUAAGAGACCAUCCAAGUUUAAAUUCGUUUGAAAAAAACCAUUCAAGUAUUAAAUGUUCAAAAAAUAUCAUCAAACUAAGACAUAUGUUCAAAAAACACAAACGACGUUCUGUUCAAAAAAACACCAUCUCUAUGGUUUGGGGUAACUUACAUAUUUAGUCCUUAACUUUUUUUUUUUUAACUCGGACGGUCCCUUUAGUUUAAAUUUGUUUCGACUUCGGACCCUGAUCAAAUUAAAAGACUAAUAUACCCUUAUUACUUUCAUUUAACAUUAUUUUUAUUAUAUAUUAACUAUUUAUACAAUUUAUGUUAUUAUUUUUUAUAAAUAUAUCAAUUCCCUUUAGUUUAAAUUUGCUUCGACUUCGAACCCUGGUCGAAUUAAAAGACUAAUAUACCCUUACUACUUUCAUUUAAAAUUAUUUUUAUUAUAUAUUAAUUAUUUAUACAAUUUAUGUUAUUAUUUAUUAUAAAUAUAUCAAUUGUAUAAAUAAUUAACAAGUAAUAAAAAUAAAUGUUAAAUGAAACCAAGAAGGGUAUAUUAGUCUUUUAACUCGAUCAUGGUCCGAAGGAAAAAAAAUAUAAAUGCUAGGGACUGUCCGAGUAAGAAAAAAAAGUUAGGGGCUAAACAUGUAAGUUACCCCAAACCAUAAAGAUGGUGUUUUUUGAACAGAAUAUGUACUUCGUUGGUGUUAUUUUGUACAUAUAUCUUAGUUUGAUGAUGUUUUUUGAACAUGUAAUACUUGAAUGGUGUUUUUUGAACAAAUUUGAAACUUCAAUGGUCUUCUAAGUCAUUAUCCCUAUCCAAUAUGGGUAUACUACGUACAUCCAUAGGCAGCAACUUACCUGUUACUAUUGUUGACAAGUACAAGGGAAAUAGGCUGCUGAGGGGAGAGGUAGAACAACUGCUUCACUAUGUAUACACAUGUAGCAAUGCUGUUAAAGAGUUAAAAUUUGACAUAAGUAAAUCAGAAUAUGUAUUGUUAUUAUAAGAGUAGAUGAAUCUAGAUAUGUGUUUAUAUGCAAUAAUAAGUUGUAUACACAUCAUUGAUGAAUCUUCAAUUCAAAAGUGAUGGAAAAUAAAUAGUAUUAACAUGUGAACAUAUCAUUUGAAGAGAGUAAGUUAUAUGUUAAGUGACAAAAACAAGGUGAAUAGUUGGUAUAAAUGCUUAAUUACCUCCCACAACAUACAAGUGAAAGUAUCCAAAAGAAAGCACUUAUCCAACUUGAUUCCUUAUAUGCCACCCACACCUGAAAAGAAGCAAAUCAAAUAUAUUUGUUAUUCAUUAACGUUGAAAACUGCAACGUAUUUAUAUUUCCAAAGUGACACUAUUAAACUAUAUCCAAGAUGAAACUACUUAUUGAAACAUAUAGUCGUUUAAAAUAGCAAAAAAAUUGUUAAAAGUUUAUCAACAAAAUUUUGUGUAUCAUGAAUUGAGAUGGAGACCUACUGAUAAAGCCACAACAUGGAAAUAGAAGUCAAUCACUACUGCUAUCAUACACCUUCAAGCAUUUACUAUUAUCAACUUUACAUUCCAUGAAUUAAAGUAUUACUUUUAAAGAAAUAAAAAGAGAAGAAAAUUUACGUUGAGACAUGGAUUGGAGAUCCAUAAACAACAAAUGUAUAAAUAAAAGUUCCAAGCAUCAAGAAGCCUAAUGAAGAAAUGAUUACUCUUGCAGUUACAACAAAAGGUCUCCUCAUGUGUUCUAAGGCAUCCCUAAGCCAAAAUAUAAAGUUUAAGAAAUUGUUUAAUGUGAUUUCAAACUCAACUACAUAUCAUCAUAUUUAUAACAAGAAGAUAUAACAAGUAAAGGAUGAUUGAAAGAAAAAAUUUAGUUUUCAUUAUACAAAUGAAGUUGAAAGAUUCUUACCUUUUUUGAUGUCUCACUAACAAAAAAUAUAAUGGAUCCUUUGAAGAUUCUUCAUGUGACAACUUGAAGAACCGCAAAGCGAUGUAACCACAUGUAACAAGACUGUACAAGGAAUGAAAUUGGAAAAUUUUCAAUGAGACUAACAAUAUCUUCCUUACAUUUUUGGAGGAUAUACAAAAUAUGGAGUAUGCUAUGCCAAGAAAGUAACGCAAAGCAAAUUCCACUGUUUUCAAGUGAAUUGAAACGACUUCUAACAUGUUACACUGCUACUUAAUAAAAAGAAAAGAUUACCUUCCGACAAUAAUUUCUAUCGAUAUUAAAACAACUGCCUUGAUCAAACUUGAUUCCUUGUAGACAAUCCAAGCCUAAGAAUACAAGGUAGCGUAUUGGUAGUGUUUGGUGAAACCAUAGAAAUAAGUUAGUAACUUAUCGUACGUAAGGUAGCUUUUAAUUGAUAAGCUACUUUCAAAUGGAGCUUUAAAUUACAUGUACAUGGUGUAAGUAUGUGAUUCUUUAACUCAUAUUGCAAUGGUUAAUUUUCAAGGUCCACACUGUAAACUUUAUAAAUGAUAUUUCUUACCCCUAUAAACGCAAAAUUUAUGUAAAAGUUUACGAGUGCCGCUACAAGCCACCUGCAAUUAAUUUGACAAUUAAACUAAUUAAAGAGAAAACAAUAAAGUAGAUAAGAAAUAACAUUUACGAUGUUCUAAUACCCUUGGAUGCAAAUAAAAAACAAUGUUGAAAUACAUUUUGUUAUUUCUUAUAUUUAGCCCAUUUAGCCCAUUAAAGAAAUAGGGAACCGCGAUUUUCCUUAUAUGUAACAUGUUUGUUGUUAAAAAAAUGGGAAGAACCCUAACUUUAUAAAUGAAAAUUUAUUUUCAAAAAGAUAAAAUACGAAUUGUGUAUACGGGAGAAAACAAUUUGGGUAGACCUGGAUGGAUUUAUUUUUGAGUAAAUUACACGAAUGGUCCCUAUGGUUUAGGGUAAUUUGCACGUUUGGUCCCUAACUUAUUUUUUAACUAGGAAGAUCCCUACUGUUUGCUUUUGUUACGCGCUUGGUCCCUGUAUUACUUAAAAAGACUAUUUUUGUCAUUGAUUUUUUUAAUUUAUUUAAAUAAACAUACUUCCAAUCACACCUCCUCACCUUACCUUAUAUAACCCACUAUUUUUUCCUAUUUAAAUAAUAGUCUUUUUAGUUAAGACAGAGACCAAAUGCGUAACAAAAACAAAAAAUAGGGACCAAACGUGUAACAAAAACAAAUAGUAGGGACCUUCCAAAUUAAAAAAAUAAGUUAUGGAUUAAACUCGCAAAUUACCCCAAACCAUAGGGACCAUUCGUGUAAUUUACUCUUUACUUUUACACAGAAAGCAACAACGUAAUUCUCAACCCAUUUUUUUUACUCUCACUUUCACCUUUCCAAUCUUGCAACACAUAAAUGAUAAAUCUAUCCGUCUCAUCUCUCCCAACAUACAUAAUUGAUUUAAUUCUUAAAUUAAAAAUUUACUAAUUUAAAAUUUAAAAUUUAAAAUAAAAAACAUUUUUCAAUUCCAUACCGCGGAAUGCGAAUUACCCUGUUCCAUUCCACCCUUAUAAUUUUAUAUAAACACUUAUAUAUUAGUAUUUAAAUGGAUCCUUCAUACUACAUUGACCAAUUAUAUAAAUACAUACAUACAUCCAUCCAAAUCGGUUGAUCCACUGAAUUAUUAUCAAUCCAGUUUAUUUUAAAAUUAUAGUGAUGAACACAAGACCAAUCCAAAACCCUGGUUUUUUAAACUACAAUUGAUAAAGAAACUAAUUAAUGGACAUGAUUUGAGAGUGUAUGAUAUUACAAUGGGGUAACAUGUACCAUAUAAUCACACAAUUUUUAGCAAAAGGGUAUUUUGGACAAUUAACUACAUUUAUAAAAGGAAAAUUUUGGAUUUUUAGGGAUGAUUAAUUCUCCUAAUUAAAAAAAUCUGAAUUUUUUAAUUAAUUCAAUUUCAAUUUUUACCGAUUUUAUUCUGUCAGAAUAUUUUUUGUUAGAAUGAUACUCUUUCAGAAUUUUAUUCUAAUAGAAUAUUAUUGAAGAAAAACAAAAUUUUUGAACCAAAUGUUGAAAAUUAACAAACAUUCUGAUAUAUUCUUAUAUAUCCGGAUUUAAAUUCAAAUUCAUACAUAUUCUUAUAGACUAAAAGUCUUAUACAUUUUAAUAUAGUUAUAAAAUAUUAUAAAAGAAUAUCAACAAAAAUUAAUAACAUUCUUAAAAAAUAACAACAUUCUGCUAGAAUACUCUCGUUCACCAUGUUUUCUUCAUUUUCCACAUCAAUGGCAGCCCCUUCAAAACCUAAAUAAAAAAAACAUAAUCAACUUUAAAAUAGUAUAACUUUCAGUAUAUUCUAACAGAAUAAAACUAUAAUUCUAACAGAAUGUGUUAGACAUUAAAGUCUUUUAAUUUAUUCUAACAGAAUGUAAUCGAGUCACUUGAUCAAGUAUUUCCCGAAUCACCUGAUCCAAAUUAUAAUUAUCGACUUAAUCUAAUUACAAUGACUACAUUGUAGCUAACAUAGAGGACAGUACUUUGGAAAAAGGCCAGCUUAUUACAAGCUAUAAUGUGGUAAAUAUGACAGUUCAAAGAUCACAAAUGUUUCUGAACAAAGAGUGCUAAAAAUACAGCUGUAACAUCGCAUGUUCGAAGGACUAUAACUCAACCAAUAUUAAUCAAAUUUAAAUGACUUCUGAACCUAACUUGUAGCUAACACAAAGGAGAAUGUGCAUAAACAAAUUUCAUAUCAUUCCAAGCUAGUAUGAGAGAGAUAUGAUAGUUCAAAUAUUACAAAAAAAAAUUGGCUGAAAUAUUUGAUUCAAGCAUUUUAACAAACAUUUGGCGGGCAAAAUCAGAUGCACAAAUCUUUAUACUCCAUUUGAGUACCAGACAUACAUACCAGUGAUUAACAACAUAAACUACAAACCUUCACAUAUCCAAAAACAACCAUUCACCAGCAAAAGCUUACAAAAAAAAAAGCAAAACACAUCAUUAUAAAAUUACAGAAGACAAAGGGAAGAACAAAGACAGAGAAGACACCUUAGAAAGUGAUAGUCAGCAAACGGAAAUCAACAGAAACCGUGAUGGACCCGAGUAAUUACCUACAUCCAAAAUCGAAAGAGUAAUUUUGAAGUCAUCAGAGUCGAAUUGUAGAGAGAAACACAAACCGACCUAAGCAGGGCAGGCGGUGGUGGAGAGCGAUACCGUAUAGGGCUGUGGUGGAGAGCAACGACGCAUUAGGCGGUGGUGUAGAAGGGAGAAAGAGUAAAACAAAGAAGAUGAAAGGUAAUCGGUUUGGUGCAGAAAGUGGAACAAUCUAGAAUAUAGAAAGAAGAUUAAAGUAACCCCGAUUGUAGAAGCUAACCUGAUAAAUAGUACCCGAGUUACCUACUCUGCAUAAGAGUCUUGUGCUGAAUGUAAAAUGGGUGAAGGGAUUGACGACAAUUGUAAUUUUCAAGCGUAGGGUUUUUUGGGUUUGACUUUGAUAUCCCAUAUAUAAAGGGAUGAUAAAUAUAUUAGUUAUCUACCAUAUUUAAAUAUGUCAAGAUUACUAUAAUACCCUUAAAUGAUUUAUUUAAUGAUUUAUUAUUUCCUAAAUUCUCAUUGGUGCACACAUGCACACAAUAAUUGUCAAAAACAUUUGAACNUAUAUAUAUAUAUAUAUAUAUAUAUAUACAUACACACACACAAAAUAAAGACCGUCCACUAUACCUCUUCAUGUUCGGUUGGGAAAUUGGACAAACACUAUCCACUAUACCUCUUCAUGUUCGGUUAGGCUAUAUAGAAUGGAAGACAACACGAUUCCCGUGAAGGUGCGCCACAUCACCCAAAAAAUCAAGUCACUUGCUUUUUACUAGGUAUAGGAAAUGGUAUUCAAUGGUCAAGUUGCUAUUGAGUUAGAGAGAGAUAAGGUUUUCCAUUCUCACUUAUGAAGGAUCGUAGCCAUAGUCACGAGAGGUCACACUUAUCAAGGUUGGGGGUAGUGUUUGGAGCCAACUUACACAUAACUUGGCAAGCAAGUCACGUUACACGUAUUUUUGUUAUGCAUUCCGUACAACCUAAUGUUUCUAUCCGUGUAGCCGACCCCUAAAAGGGACUAUACACAUGAUACCUCAUCGAAUGAAUAUGUAGUUCUAAAAUACAUAAUCCGUACUCCCGGAUCUUAAAUUUUCCUCAUUACCUAAUCCAUAUUCCUGGACCUAAAACUAACCUCUUGAUCUGAUCCAUACCCUUGGAUCUAAAACUAACCUCCUGCUCUGAUCCAUACCCUUGGAUCUAAAACUAGUUUAUCUCUUUAUCCUUUUAUCUCAUGGUCCAACCCACAUUUUAUCACCUACCAACAACCUCAUCUACUCAUGUUCUACCCAACAUAUUUUUAGAUACAAAAUACAUAUAUAGUUUAACUCAUUAAAACUUAUAUACUUCUCCAUUCCACAGUCAUCUCAAAUAAACAACAAUAUAUUAUACACAUAGCACGUAUUUCAUAACAAAUACUUAAUAUUUAUGUGUUAGAAGAAAGCGACCACACACUCACUUGAUCAGAAGAUGAUCGGGCAGCACUACGGCUUGUAGAAAUAGUAUCCUUUCGGUGAAACUGUGAUCACUUCACACACCGGACUUCUCGCGGGUAGAGCUUCAGCUCGGAAACUCUUUUCUUCUCGGGAUCUUCGGUGCUUCAGGACUUGCUUCGGGUCUCGGGGUUGAUACCGGGCCUUCGGGAUAUAUAUAUAUUGCACGCAAAUCGAGGUAAAACGGGAGAGAGAGAAGAGAAACUAGCAACCCUAAACGGCUGGCCCUUAAAAUCUAUUUAUAGGGCAAAAUUGGCCCUUGCCACGUCGUGACAACAUUUUUCCACGUCGUGGGCUUGGUCUUCACUGCAUGCGUCAUCGCAAGUUGCAUCUGGGGGACUCCCGGAGGUGUCAGAGGACUUGCCACAUCGUGGUCUCUGACAGUUUUGGGGUUUCGCGCCCCGAACUUCAGAAAUUCAUAACUUUCGCAUACGAACUCCGUUUUCGACGUUCUUUAUAUUGACGCGAAGGUAAGAUUAUGCUCUACAACUCUCGUUUAGAAUCCAUUGGCUAAUUUUGACUUUAUUUUUAAUAUAUUAUAAAUAUAUUACUUAUAUAUUAUCUUUAGUAGGCCGGGACAAGAAAACUCCGUUCGAAAUUCAUAACUCCUUCAUCUGAACUCCGUUUCGUUCGUCUUUCCGUCGUUGCACUAAUAUCGAUGAGAUCUUCAAUUCUCAUUUAGAUCACUAAGGAUAUAUAUCUAUCUACCUUAAAUUCACUAUUUACGUCGCGCUGGGUCGUGCCGGUUCUGUCGCGAAACUUCGACAGGUCAUAACUUCUUCGUUAUAACUCGGAUUUUGGCGUACUUUAUAUGCACGGAAAGCUUGUGACAUAUACUACAACUUUUUUAAGAUUAAUCCUUCUAAAUAAUCUUCCAUCAAAAAGUCAUUUUUUAUGCUUAUCGUCUCUAAAAUGACUAGCCCAGAUCUACGGGCGUUACACAAAAUAUUCUAGAAGUAAAACAUGUAAAGUGAAACAUNUCUUCGGUGCUUCAGGACUUGCUUCGGGUCUCGGGGUUGAUACCGGGCCUUCGGGAUAUAUAUAUAUUGCACGCAAAUCGAGGUAAAACGGGAGAGAGAGAAGAGAAACUAGCAACCCNAAUAUUCUAGAAGUAAAACAUGUAAAGUGAAACAUAAUAAUAACCUAAUUAACUAUGAUCUCAAACUAUUGAAUAUAAAUAAAACCCUUAUUAUUUAAUCACUAUAUUAAUUAAGACUUUAUUCAUUGUAUAAUGUUUCGAGUAAUCAACUAAACACUUGAAUCAAACAUCAGUCAUGCCAUGUUAUAAACAUGCAUAUUACGUCUCUCUAUGGUCAUUCCUUUGUGAACAGGUCGACUGAACACUAUUCCAAUGAUGCUUAUUUCACAAUUACAAAUUCUUGUCACUACUAGAACGCGUUAGAGUUCAACCUUAAUGCAAUUAUCUUCUGUAAUGUCGAGGCUUCAAAGUUACAGAGACUUAGCCAACAAUAUUAUAGAAUGUUCUAUUGGAACUAUGUUACUAAAAACAAUUCCAUGGUAAUAAAGUCUCAAAUUUAAGGUACACUCCUUAAACACAUUACUUGCAUUAAAGUUUUAGACAUCAGAGCUCAUUCAACAAAUUAGGCAUAGACUCCAAACAACUCAGAGUCGGUAGAAAAGCUAUGCCGACAAACGUUGAUCCGAGUUGGAGUUCCAGGUUGGCAACAUGGUUUUGUUGAAGGUAUCACCCUGGAAGGGUGUAAUACGCUUCCGAAAGAGGGGCAAGUUGGAGCACCGAUAUAUUAGGCCAUUUUUGGUAAUUUCCAGGGUUGGAAGGGUGGCAUACAAACUGGAUUUGCUUGGGGAGCUCACUCAGAUCCACAGCACCUUCCUUGUUUCGCAGCUUUGGAAGUGUGUGGAUGAUGACUCGGCGGUUGUCCCUUUGGAGGAUGUUAAGGUUGAUGAUCGCUUGAAUUAUGUCACGAGACUAGUGGCGAUAUUGGAUUGGAAGACAAAGAACUUGCGCAACAAGGUGGUGUCUUUGGUCAAUGUUCAGUGGCAACAUCGGAAGGGUUCCGAAUGGAUGUGGGAACUCGAGUCGGAGAUGAGGGAGCAUUACCCUGAGUUGUUUGUAGCAGCGAACUUCGAGGACGAAGUCUAGUUCAAGUGGGGGAGAAUUGUAACAUGUCGAUGUUGAGGUAUUACUAAUUUCAACCCUAAGUAUGAAGAUUAUUUGUAUUUUAGCCCUUUUGUAUAUGGAAAGUGUUUCAAAGUGGCCCAUAGUGGCAUUUUUGUAAUUAUUGGGCGGAACACACGUACGUUGGCUGUACGUGCCAGAACCUCAAACCCUAAUUUUUAGGGUUUGGACCAUAUAUAAGCAUGAUUAAUUCACUAAGAAUCAUUCCCUCUCCAACCUCCAAUCCUCAUUUUGUCCAUUGCAACCCUAAUAUCUUGUGUGUGUUCCUUUGAGCUUGAAAGUGUGUGUUUUGGUGUCUUUGAAGCAAAGCGGAGAGUGAAGAACCAGCUUGGAAGAUCAAGACCACUUACAUCCAGAAACACCUCACCUCCAAGCUUCAUUUUGAGGUAUAAAGUUCUGAACUUGAUGAUCAUACCUCUAGAUCUUGUUAAUGUUAAUUAGCCCCAUAUUCUUGGUCCUUUUGGGUAUUAGCUACCCUAGACAAAAUGAGUUGUCAUUUUGGACGCUUUAGGGUAGUUUGAGUGAUAAAAAUGUGAUAUUGGACCUUUUUUUCACUCCAUGCAAGUGUUGAGGUGUGUUAAUGGGUAAAGAAGUUAGGAUUUUAGCUUUUGGGCACUUGCUAGCCAUGUAACACCAUAAAGUUGGAAACUUUAUGGUGAAGGACAUUAGUUUGGGGUCAAAUCUAAGAAUUAUACGAAAGAGCUUAAAAGGAGUAAGCUCUUAUUAGAAGGAUUAAAGAAGGACUACGUAAGUUGGGCGUAGGGAUUGAUACACUAAGCGUACUAGCCCAACUUCAUGUUUUUGGUCAAGGGCUGAGUAUGCCCCACGUACAGGCUGAGUACGCCCAACGUACUCAGUUGUGUUGACCAAGUUUGACUUUUUGGAUGUUGACCAAGUUUGACCUAAGGGUAUUUUGGGUAUUUUGAGUGAUAUUUGAGAUUGGUCAUUAUUUGAUGAAUAUGUGACCGGUUGAGCUGACAUUCGGAGUUGUGUUUUGUUCAGAGAUAUUUUUCAGACUGAGAUGUGAGUUUUCUCACUAUACUUGUAAAUCGAAGGCACCAAUACCGACCCAUUAGAUUAUGUAUCCUGGUUGAGGAUGUUGCUAUGUUGGAUUGAAAUGUUAGAAUUAAGUCCUGAUAUAUAGGAUAUUGCUAUGCAGUAGUGAUAUGCUAUCUAUUAUAUAUAUAUAUAUAUAUAUAUAUGUCGACAUGUUAUGGUUUUGGGCUUGAGGCUUUACUUCUUUGUGUGUGAUCCAAUAUACCAAGGGGUAUUCCGGUCCGAUGACUGAGUGGACCCGAGGGUAUUCUAGUCCGAUGACUGAGUGGACUCGUUGUAUAUUGGCAUUCCAGUCCGAUGACUGAUUGGGCCAGGGGUACUCAAGUCUGAUGACUGACUGGACCCAACAUGAAAUGUUAUAUAUGUUAUGUUGUGUGGUGGUACUCUGGGGGAACUCACUAAGCUUUGGCUUACAAUUUUAGUUUAUUGCUUCAGAUACUUUAGAUGAUCGCAGGAAAGCGAAUGCUUAGUCGUGCACAUUUUCCUAUUUUUAUGAUAUUGGAUCUUGGGAAAACUCUGAUUAUGAUUAUACUUUAGAAACAUUGGUUUUGUAAACACUUUAUGCUUAAAAUGUGUUGUUUUCGAAAACUUUAAAUUACUAUGAUUUUUCGGAUGUUACAGUUUCGUUGUGGAGCAUGCAACUAAUAUUAUUAAUGAAUAUAAUGAUGUAAUAUAUAUACACACACACAAAAUAGAGACCGUCCAUUAUACCUCUUCAUGUUCGGGUGGGGAACUGGUUGGGGAAUUGGACAGAUACCGUCCACUAUACCUCUUUAUGUUCGGUUAGGCUAUAUAGAAUGGAAGACAACACAAUUCCCGCGAAGGUGCGCCACAUCACCCAAAAAAUCAAGUCACUUGCUUCUUACUAGGUAUAGGAAAUGGUAUUCAAUGGUCAAGUUGCUUGUGUGUGUGUGUGUGUGAGAGAGAGAGAGAGAAAGAAAGAAAGAAAGAAAGAAAGAAAAGGUUUUCCUCUCUCACUUUUGAAGGAUCGUAGCCAUAGUCACGAGAGGUCACACUUAUCAAGAUUGGGGGUGGUGUUUGGAGCCAACUUACACAUGACUUGGCAAGCAAGUCACGUUACACGUCUUUUGUUAUGCAUUCCGUACAACCUAAUGUUUCUAUCCUUGUAACUAGUCCCCAUCUCGAACCACUAGCAUACCCUGAACCACCAGGCCUCUUUAGUCUUCCAUGCUUAUAGCUAAGGAUGAGCAUAGGUAGAUACCCACCCCAUUUCGUCGGAACCGAAACCGGUCUAGGCAAUUAUUAAAUUUUUGGAACCAGCCCCGGAACCGGAUAACCCAAUUAUGUCAUUUUUGUAGUAUCAUUAAUACAAAAUAAUUCUUAUCCAUUGAGGCAAAAAAGUAAUUCAUUUUAAAAGAUAAUCAAAGUUGUUAAAUAUAAAUCAUAAACCAAAGUUCAUAUUUUGACUAUCAACAUGUUAAUAUUAUUUAAAAUCAAAUAUUUUCAAAAGAUAUAUCAUCACUUAUGUUCAAAUUGUUUUACAAUCAUGUAUUCACAUUCACAUUCACAUCAUAUUAUUUUUUUUUUUUGAAAAAAAACUACAAAUAUGAUUUAUUAGCAUGUUACCUCCAAGAAGAAAUUAGAUAGUUCAACAAAUGUCUUAGUCAUCAAAGUUGUUAUGACCAAAUCAUUUAAAUAUUAAGUAUUUUUUAAUUUUAAUAUUUCGGAACCUGGCAUUGAUCAUUAAAGUUGCAAAACCUCUUCUUUCUUCACCGAUAUCCCCUUUCUCUCUACAUGAUCUGAUGAUAAUGAUGAUAACGAGGGAGACUUAACUUCUUCUCCACGCAAUGCCCAAUUAUUUAUGGAAAUGAUUCAUAUUUUUAUUUUUUUUUUCGAUUCCUUAUAUGAUUUCACAGUUUAUGCGUUUGAUUUUGAUAGUCGGUUAACAAUUUUUGGUACCCUUGUCAAUUUCUAAUCUAUUUGUCCUAUUAUUCUUAUUCUAUUUUCAGUUUCAAAUGGAGGAGCUUUGUUUGGGGAUUAAGUGCGUCUAAUUUUUCCUCAAAUGCACCUGAAGUACGUACUCAAUAUCUUUAAGGUUUUAUGGUUUUGCUUCAAUAUUUAGGUAUUUUUUAAAUCAAUUGAUAAUUUUUAUGUAUUAAGAUAAACAAGAAUGAGGAAACUGAACUCUAACGUCAACUCGGUUGAACAGGGUAAUGAUUUCGAAUUUUUGCUCUUAAACCUUUGAUCUUUAAGCCCUAAAUAGAUUUGUAAUUCUAUUUCGUUAGCCUGUAAUCAUGUGAAGAAUGAAGUUUUUUUUACUAGGAACCAUUUAUAAAUCUCAAAAAAUCAGCAAAAAUCGGAUAUGAUAACAUGAAUGGAGGAGCUGGUGGCGAAUUGUAGAUGACGACGUUGGCUACGGGGUUAUGGAAAACAAUUCCUAUGAAUAUGACAUGUCUCCAUCAAAAGGUUGAGUGGAGCAAUGAUUUCAUUUGAAAGAUCUUAUUUAUUUAUUUCAAUGUAAUUUUCCAUGUUUGUCUUAUAAAACAUCGAUCAUGCUAUAAUUCUCUCAUUAAGUUUCUUUCUAUUGAUGGUUAAGUAGAUAAGCUUAUAUAACUAAACAUUUGUAUCCUUUGAAGCGAUUUAUCAUUCAUAAUUCUUUAAUCCAAUUUUAGUUUUAUAAUUCUUAAAAGGGCUUUUGCAAAUUUUACAUCAGGGCAAAAACUCAGAAUUUUUGUAAAACUUGAUAACCAUGAUAAGGGAUUUCAAAAUUUUUUCUGUGCUUUAAUCCAAGGAUGCACCAUUAGCAUAUUAUCUGAUCAGGAGGUAUUUUUUUAUGUUUUCAUUAUUGGGGAUUUCAAAUUUUUGUAAUUAAACUAACAUGUGGAUUUAUAGGGAGGAGAUCCGAAGGAUCAAUGCAAAUGAUUCAAAUAGAAGAUGUAAAAUAAAUUUUCAAUCAGUGCUUAGGUAAAAUUAGACAUUUUACCUAUAUCACAUUAUUCUAAUUGUUGAAAUGUGACUAAUGAAUCAAAUUCUAAGCAGAGAGAAGUUUUUCUUGAUCAAUGUGUAUGCAAAAGACAAAUCUAUUAUGCCUCCGAGGAGGUUCUCUGCUCCCACCAACUCAAUGGCAAGCCAUGUUUCUAAAUUGACAGCAACAUAACUCCAAUUACAAGAAGACGCAUUCCGCCACUUUUUGGCGACUUUCACUUUCAACCCGAUUCACCGCCUACAUGCCCUUUACGCCCAGUCAUUCCGAAGAACACUUACCCCCCCGUCUUACCGCGGCUGCUGGCACGGAGUUAGCCGGGGCUUCUUCCUCGAGUCUUGUCAUGAUCGCGCACUCGACGAAAGAGCUUUACAAGCGGCAUUGCCCUUCUUCACUCAUGCGAUAUUGCUGGAUCGGGCUUUCGCCCAUUGUCCAAGAUUCCCCGCUGCUGCCCCCCGCGGGAGUCCGGGCAGUUUGAGAUGUAAAUCAUUAAGCCAAAAGAAAAUUCAAAUAUGGUAAGCUUUGUAUUUAUUUCCCUAACAUAAUAACCUACUUGAAUUUUGUAUUUACUUUUUUUUCUAUAGACGGAGUGUAGGCAAGAAAUAACAACAUAAUUUUCUUUAUUUUUCUAAUAUAUCACUGCUUUCAUAUUUUAUUCUUACACCAUUGUACUUCCACCUGAUUAUAGCAUUUUACAUUCAAUAUUUUUUUUUGAAAUAUUGUAUACUUGUGUGUAUCUAUGUAUUUAUGGAUAUUUAAGUUUUAUUUAUGUGCAUCAAUGUUUGUAUUUAUGUGUAUUUGUAUGUAUUGAGGCAUAAAUUUGAUUAUAUGUUAAUAAUAUAUUUUUUAAUUUCACAAGUUAUGCCUUUGCAUCAUAAUAUUUUAAUAUAAGUUUUAUGUUCCGUUGGCAGUUCUUUCCUUAUAAUGAUUUUACAAAAAUGUUGAGGCAUAACUUAUUAUAUAUUUAUUAAUGUCUUCAUUGGUGCAGGAAGAUAGCGAGAAGAAAGGGAAUGCAAAUCAGUUUGGAUUUAAGGAAAAACUUUUGACAAAGGUUUAUGAAAGUGAAAACCAAAUCAGGAGCUUCCAAUGUCUAAUUCGUCCAACCAAAGCUAUCAAAGUGAACGAAAAUGAAGAAUAAGAGUAAUUCAGGAUUAUAUAUAUAUAUAUANAUAGUAUUGAAUCAAAUACCAACGUUCUUUAGUUAUUCUCCCAAAAAUUAUCAUAUUUUUAUUUUUAUUUUAAAAAAUAACUAAUAUAAUUUGUUUUUUUAACCCAAAACAUAUAACUAUUUUUAAAAUAUUUUUGCAAAUCUACCACUAAUAUUACAAUUUUUAAAAUUUCAAUUUUAUUUACUGUAACACCAUGCCUAUUUUGUGUUUAUAUGGACAUCAAAACAUUUAACGGCUUAUGGAUGGGCCCAAUACUUGUCUAAAGAGCUGCUGGUUCGACCACAUACCCAAUAUGUCAAGAUGGGCCAAAAUGGACACACAUAAAUAUUGAUGAUAUAACUAUGGAAGAAAACCUAGCCAAUUGCUCUUCGUGCAGGUCUAAAUCGCCUCAACGCAGCUACAAUGGCGACAGCGAGAACUGUGAAGGAUGUUUCCCCGCAUGAAUUCGUUAAGGGUUACGCCGCUCAUCUCAAACGAUCCGGCAAGGUAAAAUCGACCACACUACUGAUUUUAGGGUUUGUUGAUCUAGAGUAACGGAGUGGCUUUUUAUUUCCCUCACAAAUGCAUCAAUCUCGAAUUUUGUAUGCUUAAAAAUGAACUGAACUUUUGUAUUUGGUGAACUUCGGCUCUAAUUCUAGUGUUUUUUUAACUGUAAUUGAAUUUUGAUUCUGUGUUUGGUGAAACAUUACCCCUAAUUUCUCUACUCUAAUCUUUUCAUGUACAAUUGAUCAUCUUGGUAAUUCUAAUUUUCAUAGAUGGAGCUUCCAGAAUGGACUGAUAUCGUGAAGACUGCGACUUUCAAGGAACUUGCUCCCUAUGAUCCAGAUUGGUAUUACAUCAGAGCUGGUAAGUUCUUUCUAUUUCUAUUUUCACACAAUUAUCAGAGUGAAGAAACAGUUAAACAAACCCAUAUUUUACAAUUCCAAUUUGCAGCUUCAAUUGCCAGGAAAAUAUACUUGAGAGGUGGUCUUGGUGUUGGAGCAUUACAGAGGAUCUAUGGCGGACGUAAGAGAAAUGGAAGCGCUCCACCACAUUUCUGCAAAAGCAGUGGUGGAAUUGCUCGCCAUAUCCUUCAACAAUUGGAAACCAUGAAAAUCAUCGAUAUGGAUCCCAAGGGGUGAGUUUCAAUUUUCUUUUAUCUUUUAAUCAAUGCAUUUUCUUGUUUCAAGAAUCCAUUUGUUGCUCUUGAAUCUUGAUCAUAUAAAGGCUUCAUAUAUACAUGUUGUUACUUGUUACUUACUUAAGGGACUGUUUUUUAGACCUGUUAAGGUUAAUGUGUUAAGCAUCUGAUCUGAACAUAAUGACUUAAUGGAUUAAGCACUUGUUACUUAAUAACCCUUUACCUAUUUGCAUUUUUUUCUAUUUCCUCCCAGCUUCAAUACUGUGAAAUUUGUUUUUUUGAAAUGUAAGGGUAAAAUGGUAAAAUUGUUUGUUUAUUUUUUUGGUUGUGUUACAGAGGAAGAAGGAUCACAUCUAAUGGUCGACGAGACCUUGAUCAAGUUGCAGGGCGGAUUGUGGUUGUUGCACCUUGAAGAAUUCAAAUCAUUUUUGAUGUUAUGUAGCUUUAUUAUGAAUCUUAACUUUAAAAAAAUUUAAAUCAAAUUUUGUUUGAAGAAAUCUUGUUUUCAUUUUUGAGUUGUUUGUGUUUUGGUGGUAUUUCUGAGAAUUUGUGGAUUUGGAACAUGAGUACAUGUAAUCAAUCACUUAACUACUUAAGCUCUAAUCCUGAUACUUGAAUUAAUACACUCCAAUGAGAAAUGAUUUUGUAGGAUUAUUUGAAGAGUAUGGAAUUGAAUACUCCUGAUUUUUAUAUACAUGUACCAUGGUAG